UUGAACGCUGGCGGCAGGCCUAACACAUGCAAGUCGAGCGGAUGAAGGGAGCUUGCUCCUGGCUUCAGCGGCGGACGGGUGAGUAAUGCCUAGGAAUCUGCCUGGUAGUGGGGGAUAACGUCCGGAAACGGGCGCUAAUACCGCAUACGUCCUGAGGGAGAAAGUGGGGGAUCUUCGGACCUCACGCUAUCAGAUGAGCCUAGGUCGGAUUAGCUAGUUGGUGGGGUAAAGGCCUACCAAGGCGACGAUCCGUAACUGGUCUGAGAGGAUGAUCAGUCACACUGGAACUGAGACACGGUCCAGACUCCUACGGGAGGCAGCAGUGGGGAAUAUUGGACAAUGGGCGAAAGCCUGAUCCAGCCAUGCCGCGUGUGUGAAGAAGGUCUUCGGAUUGUAAAGCACUUUAAGUUGGGAGGAAGGGCAGUAAGUUAAUACCUUGCUGUUUUGACGUUACCAACAGAAUAAGCACCGGCUAACUUCGUG
rnacentral:rRNA from 1 species